AUGCCAUGAUGAGGGCAUUUCCUAAGCAAUUCCUUAAACCUUGUGAAUGCCUCAUGGAAUGUUUCCCCUGAAUGUUGCUGAAAUGCUCCGAUUGCAUCCCGAGCUU
rnacentral:snoRNA from 1 species